rnacentral:ncRNA from 1 species
UGUAGUCACUGGCAAACUAAAUGAAAAUUUAGGACGCAAAGCCACCGGUCUAAAGAACGUUAUGUUCCACGACAGCGGGGUUGCUUUA